rnacentral:tRNA from 1 species
GGGAUUGUGGCUCAGUGGUAAAGUGUUUGCCUAGCAUGCAUGAGGCCCUGGGUUCAAACCUCAGCACCA